rnacentral:lncRNA from 1 species
AAAUUGUCCCCAAAUGAGCAAAGUGAUCACUAUGUUUCUCCCUGUCUCCCUAGGCCCCAAACACACUAAGGAGCCUUUCACGUAAAUGCCAAGCUAAAGUGCCACUCCAGGGCGUGGUGGGUACUGCCACUGAAGUGUUUGUACAUCGAAUAACAAGAAGAUUCCACCAAAAGUCUGUAAAAAGGGGUGAGAAAACUGAUGUGGCUGUGACCCUAGCUUUGGCCUUGAAGUGAUUAUGAAAUGGAGGAAGAAAUUUGACUCUCCAAAUGACCAACAGGAGCUCAACAGGCAUCCUCCCCACUCAAGAUGCCGCCUGACACUGGGACGGAUUUCAAGUCUGAGAAAACCGCUGGGGUUUCCCAACACGCCCAGCCCACCGCGCUCCAUUCACCGGCCGCCCCGUCUUGGCGGAGGUCAUCCUUUCGGUCGCGAAGAUGACUUUACAAGUCUCAGUUGUAUCAAUUAAAGCACCGCGAUGUGAGAGAGGCCCCGUUUUAUUUCUCAGGUGUCUUUACUGGCUGAAAUAUGGACUCCUCUGCCACUCGUGGCCUUCUUCGCGGCCCUUGCUGCCUCCCUCCUGUGUAUUUGUGCAUGUUUUUGUUACGGCGUGCUUUCGUCUAGAUUUGAGUAAUAUGUCCCUCUGACUGUCCACUCUCUUCCCCAGAGACAGCGAGCUCCUUAUGAGCGGGCAAGGAGCCUCAUCGGCGUGUGUGCACAUCUCCCAGGCCUGCUACAGCUCAGUAAAUAUGCUUAUUAAACUCAGCUAACCCUCCACCUCGCCCCUACCAUCACCUUUCAGACUGCAUUGGAAUUUGGGUAUCUUCUAUAAUCAUCCUAGUUUGUCUGUAAUUCCCAAGAAUUUAUGACUCUGUGUUAAAAAAAGAAAUGUAGAAAAGGAAACGCCAAUACAACAAGCACUCUUAGCUGUCAGAGAGCCCUGCUUUGCUUUCAUUGAGCAUUUGUAGAGUGUCACUAGAUUUUCCUACACUUGGAAUUUUUUUUUUAAUUAGAUUUUCUCUAGCUUGAUCUUCAGUUCUAAAUGUUUCUUAGAGUGCUUUUCAAUUUCCAAAGGACUUCAUCAAUUUCACAGAGUAUAGGUCCAAUGUACACAAUAAAAUCCUUUGCUCUUUUACA